rnacentral:rRNA from 1 species
AGUGAACGCUGGCGGUAGGCCUAACACAUGCAAGUCGAACGGCAGCACAGUAAGAGCUUGCUCUUACGGGUGGCGAGUGGCGGACGGGUGGGGAAUACAUCGGAAUCUACUUUUUCGUGGGGGAUAGCGUAGGGAAACUAACGCUAAUACCGCAUACGACCUACGGGUGAAAGCAGGGGAUCUUCGGACCUUGCGCGAUUGAAUGAGCCGAUGUCGGAUUAGCUAGUUGGCGGGGUAAAGGCCCACCAAGGCGACGAUCCGUAGCUGGUCUGAGAGGAUGAUCAGCCACACUGGAACUGAGACACGGUCCAGACUCCUACGGGAGGCAGCAGUGGGGAAUAUUGGACAAUGGGCGCAAGCCUGAUCCAGCCAUACCGCGUGGGUGAAGAAGGCCUUCGGGUUGUAAAGCCCUUUUGUUGGGAAAGAAAAGCAGCAGGUUAAUACCCCGCUGUUCUGACGGUACCCAAAGAAUAAGCACCGGCUAACUUCGUG